CCUACGGGAGACAGCAGUGAGGAAUAUUGGUCAAUGGACGAGAGUCUGAACCAGCCAAGUAGCGUGAAGGAUGACUGCCCUAUGGGUUGUAAACUUCUUUUAUAUGGGAAUAAAACAGGGUAUGCAUACCCUCUUGUAUGUACCAUAUGAAUAAGGAUCGGCUAACUCCGUGCCAGCAGCCGCGGUAAUACGGAGGAUCCGAGCGUUAUCCGGAUUUAUUGGGUUUAAAGGGAGCGUAGGUGGAUUGUUAAGUCAGUUGUGAAAGUUUGCGGCUCAACCGUAAAAUUGCAGUUGAAACUGGCAGACUUGAGUACGGUAGAGGUGGGUGGAAUUCGUGGUGUAGCGGUGAAAUGCUUAGAUAUCACGAAGAACUCCGAUGGCGAAGGCAGCGCACUGGACUGCGACUGACGCUGAUGCUCGAAAGUGUGGGUAUCAAACAGGAUUAGAUACCCUUGUAGUC
rnacentral:rRNA from 1 species